UAGCUUUGCAGUCAUGCUGACGAAGGACCGACCUCCUGAUUGCCAUCCUAGACAGUCAUCACUGAUGCUCCAGGGGCCUGGGCUGGACUCCUUGCUGGCUCCACAUAUCACAGCAGAGCACACUGACCCUUUGCUCACAUCUUGAAGACCGGUCUCUCCUCACACCAUCAAAGACGGUACGUUCCCUGGAUCUGCUAGCAACUCUGAUACUACACCUCCAGUGCCGUGCACUGACUUCAGAAGGUAUGGAGGAGUGAGGGGUGACAGCUUUUUGAAACAUUUAAGAGAACUGAACUUGGUGACUAGAUGAAGAACGAGAAUAAUGAGAAGACAAAAG